rnacentral:rRNA from 1 species
AGUGACAAGAAAUAACAAUACAGGGCCUAACGGUCUUGUAAUUGGAAUGAGUGAAGUAUAAACCCCUUUACGAGUAUCAAUUGGAGGGCAAGUCUGGUGCCAGCAGCCGCGGUAAUUCCAGCUCCAAUAGCGUAUAUUAAAGUUGUUGCAGUUAAAAAGCUCGUAGUUGGAUUUCUGUUGUAUUUUUAUAAUAUUACUAAGGUAACAUUAUAAUAACAACAUCCUUCCCAAUAUAUUUUUUAAUAUAUGGGAAAUUUUACUUUGAGAAAAUUAGAGUGCUUAAAGCAGG